UACGGGGGGGGCAAGCGUUGUUCGGAAUUACUGGGCGUAAAGGGCUCGUAGGCGGCCAACUAAGUCAGACGUGAAAUCCCUCGGCUUAACCGGGGAACUGCAUCUGAUACUGGAUGGCUUGAGUUCGGGAGAGGCAGGCGGAAUUCCGGGUGUAGCGGUGGAAUGCGUAGAGAUCCGGAAGAACACCGGUGGCGAAGGCGGCCUGCUGGGCAGUUGCUGACACUGAGGCGCGACAGCGUGGGGAGCAAACAGG
rnacentral:rRNA from 1 species